AAAUAUAUCAUAAUAUGGUAUGUAAAUAGUCCAUUCAACUAAAUCUUGGCUUGGGUGAGGUGUUUUACCCUGAAAGUGGCAUAAAAGAGGAGAGGAGAUCAUCAUCAUUGAAGACGAGCCGACUCGUCAAAGAGUGUUUAGGCAGCAGGGAGGUAUUGUUAUCAAGGAAAACUCUGAGGCUUUACAGGAAAGAAUUCGUCAUCGGCUGUUGGGAAAGGGAAAGCGAAAAUGUGCCCCGGAGAAAGCAGCAAGUUCUAGUCUGGUUGUUGAUCUUUGUUCAGAGUCUGGGAGUUUAGGUCAUUCUCAGUUUUCUUUUAGGGUUGCUAGUAGUGGUUUUGGUAGUUCUUUCUCUUCAGUUCAGUCUCUUGCAAGCGAUGGUUUUAUCUCCUUGUAUAGUUGUAUGUAGCCUGUCAAUGGACCGGAGCUCCGAUCCGAACCGGUUCGA
rnacentral:lncRNA from 1 species